AACAGGAGCCAUAAUGACCAUGACUGGAGGAGAAUCAGAUUCUGGCCUGGCCUGGUUCUGUGAGAUACCUUAAAUCAUACUUUCUGUAGCAUCCCUUAAAGGUGGGUAGAGAGAAGGAGAGAGUUAAGUGUGGGUGCAGUCAUCCUCAGGAUGGUUGAUCUCUAAAUCUAUUCUUGGGCAAAAGUUUAGAGAAAAGCUGAAUCACUCAGCCCAGAGGAAGCCUGAGGAGGCAUAAAGAAGUCUUGGAAAUCCCCUGAAAAAAAGAAUCAGCUGUAGGCUAACCCAAGAAGAAUAAAGCAUCGGCUUCCCUGACAUGCUGCUCCCCCCAAAACAGAGUGCCAAUAUGAUUCCAAGGUUCUUAGCACACUGUAUAUUACCUCACUCCUCCUACAGUGGUCUGGAACUGAACUUGCAAUUUCUCCAAGAUAUGUCGGUAUCUCUCUCCAUGCUGUGCUGCGUGGGCUUUGGGAGCGGUGAUGUGGACCAUUUGAAAUUGUCCUUGCUACCUCUUUAAUGCAUAUUUUUAUAUUUCUAUGCUCCACCCAAGUGCUGUAGUCUCUCAACUGCCUUCUUUUUGUUCUUCAGCUUUUAUGAAGCUAUUUUCAAGUGUGAGUAGUUGUCCAAAUUCAUGUUUCUUGAGGGAACAAGUGACUUGUUUGUAAGUUGACUUGUAUAUCUUUUUAUAGCUGAGAUUUUAUCCUGUGAUCUUACUAACUCAGGAAUUUUUUGGAGAUUCUUUGCAGUUUUCUAAGUAGAAUAACCAUAUUAUAUUUAUUAUUAUUUUCCUUCUUACUUUGGUUUUAAUUUGCUCUUUUUUUACAUGUUUUCUGAGUUAGAAACUUAGGUUAUUGAUUUGAUACCCUUAUUCCUUUAUAACAUAUGCAUUUGAUUGUGUAAGUUUUUCUCUAAGCACUGCUUUAGUGCAUCCCACAAAUUUUGAUCUGUUGUAUAUUUUUUAUUUACUUUAAUAUAUCUUCUAAUUUUCUUUUGACUUUAUCUUUGACCAAUGAAAUAUUCAGAAAUGUGUAAUUUCUAAAUAUUUGGGAGAUUUUCUAAAUAUUUCUCUGUUACUGCUUUCUAGUUCAACUCCACUAUGGUUAGAGAACACACUUUGAAUGUUUUAAAUCUGUUAAGAUUUGUUUUAUGACUUAAGACACAGUUGGUAUUUGUGAAUGUUUCAUGUGCACUUGAAAACAAUGUUUAUUCUGCUUUCAUUGGGUCAGGUGGUCUAAAAAUGGCAUUUAAGUUAAUUUGGUUGAUAGUGAUUUUCAGGUAUUAUAUAUCCUUCCUGAUUCCUGCCUAGUUGUUCUAAUGAUUACUGACAGAAGACUGUUGAAAUCUCCAAUUACACUAUUAUUUUUGUAUUUCUACCUUUACCUCUAUAAUUUUUGCUUUAGUAUUGUCACAAUAUUUUGUUGGGUGCAUACCAAUUUAGUAUAGCUAUGUAUUUUUGGUAGAUUGGCACUUUUAACCAUUAUACAAUGUCCCUCUUGGUCCUUGGUAACUUUCCUUCAUUGGAAUUCUACUUUUUUUGAUAUUAAUAUGACAAUUCUAGCAUUCUUUUGGUUAGUAUUUGCAUGGUAUGUCCUUUUCUAUUAUUUAGCUUUUAGCCAAGCUGAGUGUUUUUAUUUAAAAUGGGUUUCCUGCGACUAAAAAUCAUUCUAAUCUUAUUAGAUUAUCUAAUAACCUAAUUAUCUCUCUAUUGGCUGAACUUAGUCAUGGGAUAGAACCUACUUUCAGGGAAGGUUGCAUAAUACAGUCCUUUAUCUGGCCAUAUUGCCUGCACACUUAAAUGUAACCAUGCACCUGUAUAUACACACAUUCACAUAUAUCUGUGUUUUGUUUCUAAAGAAAAGGUGAGAGUGGGUGUUUGUAUAAGCAUCUAGCUAUUUCUGCUUUCAUAUGCUUUUGGUAUUUGUAAACUGUCUUUACCUGUAAAAUAAGGACAUUUCUAACCAUUAUUUCACUUCUAGAAUAAUUAAUUUAUCUGAUCAUUUUAUAUAACAUUUUAAGUGUCUUGUUAAUUUUUUUGUUGAAGUUAUUCAAUAUGUAUUGAAUAUAAAAACACAUCAUUCCUAGUAAA
ensembl:lncRNA novel transcript